UACACAUACUAGUGCUUUUAAACCUACCACAUGCCUGUGAGGAUGUCUGAAUUUCUAUUCAAGGACCAUAUUUCCUGAGAUAAAGAAAGAUGAAAUGUUAAAAUGGUACUCCCAAGAUCUGCAGUCUGAGGUGGGCUGCCUCACCCCAUGAAAUGGUAGGGCCAGCCCUGGAAAGGAGUGCAGAAUCCUAUGAACGAAAGGGUAACACAAUAUUUGGAACGCACACACUGCCGAAAGAGAACUUGGCCUCUGAUACUGUGGCCGAAAGUGAACAGAUUCCAGCUGAAAAUGGACACUGGGAAAUUCCCUUUUGGACUGAAACCUAACUAUUGGCAUGCCAUCAGAGGAUGCAUUAAGCCAAGAUGCUCACUAAGCCCUUACCCCAGAACAAACAGGAGAUGUCAGAAGGUGGAUCCAGGGGGCUGACUGCCUU